UACGGAGGGUGCGAGCGUUGUCCGGAAUCAUUGGGCGUAAAGGGCGCGUAGGUGGCCCGGUCAGUUCGUGGUGAAAGCCCGGGGCUCAACCCCGGGAGGCGGGUGGAUACUGGUCAGCUCGAGUCCGGAAGAGGAGUGUGGAAUUCCGUGGUGUAGCGGUGAAAUGCGCAGAUAUCAGAAGGAACACCAAUGGCGAAGGCAGCACUCUGGGACGGUACUGACGCU
rnacentral:rRNA from 1 species